rnacentral:rRNA from 1 species
UGGGGAAUAUUGGACAAUGGGGGCAACCCUGAUCCAGCCAUGCCGCGUGUGUGAAGAAGGCCUUUUGGUUGUAAAGCACUUUAAGCAGGGAGGAGAGGCUAAUGGUUAAUACCCAUUAGAUUAGACGUUACCUGCAGAAUAAGCACCGGCUAACUCUGUGCCAGCAGCCGCGGUAAUACAGAGGGUGCGAGCGUUAAUCGGAAUUACUGGGCGUAAAGCGAGUGUAGGUGGCUCAUUAAGUCACAUGUGAAAUCCCCGGGCUUAACCUGGGAACUGCAUGUGAUACUGGUGGUGCUAGAAUAUGUGAGAGGGAAGUAGAAUUCCCAGGUGUAGCGGUGAAAUGCGUAGAGAUCUGGAGGAAUACCGAUGGCGAAGGCAGCUUCCUGGCAUAAUAUUGACACUGAGAUUCGAAAGCGUGGGUAGCAAACAGGAUUAGAUACCCUGGUAGUCCACGCCGUAAACGAUGUCUACUAGCCGUUGGGGUCCUUGAGACUUUAGUGGCGCAGUUAACGCGAUAAGUAGACCGCCUGGGGAGUACGGCCGCAAGGUUAAAACUCAAAUGAAUUGAC